CAAUAAGCGGAGGAAAAGAAACCACAGGGAUUACCUCAGUAGCGCGAGUGAAGCGGUAACAGCUCAAAUUUGAAAGCUAGCUCUUUUAGGGUUCGCAUUGUAAUUUGUAGAAGAUGCUUCGGGUGUGGCCCCGGUCUAAGUUCCUUGGAACAGGACGUCAUAGAGGGUGAGAAUCCCGUAUGUGACUGGGUGCUUUCGCUCAUGUGAAGCUCUUUCGACGAGUCGAGUUGUUUGGGAAUGCAGCUCAAAAUGGGUGGUAAAUUUCAUCUAAAGCUAAAUAUUGGCCAGAGACCGAUAGCGCACAAGUAGAGUGAUCGAAAGAUGAAAAGCACUUUGGAAAGAGAGUUAAACAGUACGUGAAAUUGUUGAAAGGGAAGCGCUUGCAACCAGACUUGCGCGCUGAUGAUCAUCCGGGCUUCUGCCCGGUGCACUCGUCUGCGCUCAGGCCAGCAUCGGUUUCGGUGGUGGGAUAAAGGCCUUGGGAAUGUAGCUUCUUUCGGGGAGUGUUAUAGCCCUCGGUGCAAUGCCGCCUACCGGGACCGAGGACCGCGCUUCGGCUAGGAUGCUGGCGUAAUGGUUGUAAGCGACCCGUCUUGAAACACGGACCAAGGAGUCUAACAUCUAUGCGAGUGUUUGGGUGUCAAACCCAUACGCGUAAUGAAAGUGAACGGAGGUGAGAACCCUUAAGGGUGCAUCAUCGACCGAUCCUGAUGUCUUCGGAUGGAUUUGAGUAAGAGCAUAGCUGUUGGGACCCGAAAGAUGGUGAACUAUGCGUGAAUAGGGUGAAGCCAGAGGAAACUCUGGUGGAGGCUCGCAGCGGUUCUGACGUGCAAAUCGAUCGUCAAAUUUGCGUAUAG
rnacentral:rRNA from 1 species